CCAGGCAAUGUCGCCGACCCCAUUCAUUUCUUAUUGCGCAAGCGGAAUGUACUAUAAAACCCCUGACAAUAAAAUACGGGAUAGAAAAGCAGGAAACAAUUUCACAACCAAUCACUUACACAAACCAACAGAGUUACAGACGAAGGCCUACAGCCAAGAGUCUACAAAAGACCGACUCUUAAAAAUGAAUUGCCCUACGACCUACAAGUCGGACACGUUCUUCAAUCUUAUGACUUCACCUCUGCAUCUCCUCACGGCCAACCAAAGCUAUCUGGCCGCUCCGUCCACCAGGGACCUGAAAUGGUUAUUCAAUAACCACUGAGACAACGUCUCAGCAAGUUCAACCCCCUAAACCCUUAUUAGAAAGAAAAUACGCCCCAGAGUGGUCUAGCCACACAGCACAGAAGACUUACCUCGCCUUCUUGCCUUCCUGCAGGUUAGUACAAUUCAUAUCACUCAAGCACCAGUAAUGAUAAGAAUGUAAGCCAUCGGAACACAAUCAAUUUCACUUAAUUUCACAAUCACAGCAAGCAUUCCAUGUCAUCAUUAUCCACUGCCACACAAGAGUACAGCCUAUUCGCCGGUCGACUAUCUACUAAAAUUACAGCAUUUCUAGAAGAAUAAAGGUCCAGUCGGUCUCGCCACUACUGCGACCAUGCCACGUUGUUCUAUCGACAGCAUUUCUAGAAGAAUAAAGGUCCAGUCGGUCUCGCCACUACUGCGACCAUGCCACGUCGUUCUAUCGACAGCAUUUCUAGAAGAAUAAAGGUCCAGUCGGUCUCGCCACUACUGCGACCAUGCCACGUCGUUCUAUCGACAGCAUUUCUAGAAGAAUAAAGGUCCAGUCGGUCUCGCCACUACUGCGACCAUGCCACGUCGUUCUAUCGACAGCAUUUCUAGAAGAAUAAAGGUCCAGUCGGUCUCGCCACUACUGGGACCAUGCCACGUCGUUCUAUCGACAGCAUUUCUAGAAGAAUAAAGGUCCAGUCGGUCUCGCCACUACUGGGACCAUGCCACGUCGUUCUAUCGACGGCAUUUCUAGAAUAAUAAUGGUCCAGUCGGUCUCGCCACUACUGCGACCAAGCCACGUCAUUCUCUUGACGGCAUUUCUAGAAGAAUAAGGAUCCAGUCGGCCUAGCCACUACUGCGACCCGAGCCUUUCAACUAGCACACGACAAUUCGAUACCGAUCCUUAGAUACUUUACAUUUCACUCACAUAAUCCAAUUACGAUAUUAACCAUUAACAAUCCAAUUUCAAUGCCAAACUCGACACUUGGGAUUUUCUAAAUAAAAUCCAUACUUUUCACAAUCCACACUCAAUUUAUAAUAUUCAAUCAUCAAUUUCAAAAUUCAACUACACAGCAGUGAUCGGCACGAAAUUCUGAGCAACCGGGAUCAAAAAUAAUUUUUCCGUUUUUUAUUUUUUAUUUUUUUUAUAUAAUAAUAUUUUAAUAAUUUCGGAAUAUAAUAUAAUAUUAUAAAUUUCCAGAAUUUCGAAGCAAUUAAAUAAUUCAAAAUUAAAAUCCUUUUAUGUCACAUCAAGGCUUUAUAUUAACAAUAAACAUACUUAACUUUAAACUAAACACACUUUAACUUAAUUAAACACCAUAAUAUAAUCAUCAACCAAUUAAAUUAAUUCAACCCACUAAGCUUACUUAACUUAGGCUAAACACACUUAGGGCAUCAUUAACCGUCUAAUCAAGAUUUAGUGAGUUAAACUCACCGGAUUAGCGAGCCGAGCGGACCAAAACGACGAGGACGACGCGAGGAUCGACUUUCCUCAAGGCGGGCCGAGCAUCCGGGCUCGGGAAGGCGGCCAAAACGAGCCAAACGUCCGCUGCAUACCCAUUUUUCCAGCCCUCUGAUUUGGGGCCGAGAAGGGCUGCACGGCGGCGGAUCGGGCGGAGGAAUGGCGGAGGAGGACCGGCGGGGCUUGGACGGGCGAGGCGGCAGCUCCGACGAGGCCUCACGGUGGCCGAAGGGAGCUCCGGCAGCUCCUGGAACUCACGAAUCGAGACGGACGGGGAUGGCUAGGCGCGGGCGAGCACGGGCAACGGCUGNNNNNNNNNNNNNNNNNNNNNNNNNNNNNNNNNNNNNNNNNNNNNNNNNNNNNNNNNNNNNNNNNNNNNNNNNNNNNNNNNNNNNNNNNNNNNNNNNNNNNNNNNNNNNNNNNNNNNNNNNNNNNNNNNNNNNNNNNNNNNNNNNNNNNNNNNNNNNNNNNNNNNNNNNNNNNNNNNNNNNNNNNNNNNNNNNNNNNNNNNNNNNNNNNNNNNNNNNNNNNNNNNNNNNNNNNNNNNNNNNNNNNNNNNNNNNNNNNNNNNNNNNNNNNNNNNNNNNNNNNNNNNNNNNNNNNNNNNNNNNNNNNNNNNNNNNNNNNNNAGAUGGAGGAGAGAGAAGGAGGGGGGGCCUCUUUUUAUUUUCUUUUUCCUCUUUCUUUAAUCCAACUAAAUGGCCCACCAUGACAUCAUCCCAUGUCAUCUUCCACUAUCUCCUCUCCCACAACAUUCUUCAAUGGGUGCAAUAUCAUUUCCGCCGGGGUCCAAAUCCUUGUACAUCCAAUUUCUUCAAUUUUCCUUUCAAUUCUCUUCUAACUGAAUCCAAUUAAAAUCCACAAAAAUUAUCCCAUGAUCCUAAUAAGAUGUGUGAGAUAACCGGGCUUCCAACUUCUAAAUCCAAUCCCAAUUUUUACGGUUGAAUUCAAUCUGGUGCGAUUUCAGCACGCCUAACCUACCGAGUAGCUUUCAGGGAAAUUUUCUUGCAUCCGACCUAAGGGUGAUCAGUCCCCAAGUUUGACGCGUUAAAAUCCCUUAAUUACUUCGUCCAAUAGGCUAGUCCUCUCAUGAGUGGCCAACUCAGAGAGACGAACUAUAUGCACAGAUGAAAUGCCCGACUCAAUUAGCUGAAAAUAGAAUUAGAAAAAAUCGAGAUGUCACAACUCUUCCCAUCUUAUAAAAAUUUCGUCCUCGAAAUUUAAACCUUUAUCAAUCCUUAACCAAAAUGUGGGGGUAUAGCCGUCUCAUAUAAUCUUCUAUUUCUCAGGUCGCUCCUUUUGUAUCAAUGCUGCUAGAUCACUGAUAUCUUGCCCACUUAAAAUUCCAAAGGUCUUCAACACAAAAAAAUCUACGAAGCUAAACUGGCGAUUCCGAAUAGUCUCUAAACUGUUUCUGAUAACUGCAACCGAAUCACCGAUUUCUGAACCAACUCUGAACCUGCGAUUUUCUAAUCUCUGAUCUCAUCUCAACCGACUGAAAUCCUGUACACUUUGCUCUGCACUGAUUAAAAAGAAACUAUCUGACUUACUUGCUGAAACUGAGAACCUCUGGUCAAGAUCUGAUAAAAUUCUGACACUGAUCUCGGCAAUUGCAAUCACUGACUACUGUACUGACCCUGGCCUAAUCUUUCUUUCCUUGACUUCAUCUCAGCAAUUAAAAUUAUGCACUCUCUGCUAUGCACUGCUUAAGAAAGAACCAUCUGAAAGCUCUACCAACUUGGAACAUCUGAUCUAGAUUGAAAUACAAUUCAUCCCCGACACUCCAUACAGAUGAAUUAUGUGAUAUACACACACACUUCGGUAUACCUUUCUAAUCGAGAUCUUUUUGUGCUGCACUAAGGCGAGCUGACUCUGAUCAUCUAUUGACCACAACCCCACAAGGAAUCAAUACUCUUCCCGACUCCUUAAUAAGCCUGUCAUAACAUUCCAUCAUGAUAUACUUCCAUUCCCACACAGAACUCUCUCCAGUACUUGAAAAAGCUUUCUUGGCUUACAUCGCCAAAUUCUCACUUACUGAUAUCUCCAACACUCACAACUUGAUUGGCGAUAUCUAUCUUCAUGCCGAUCUACCAAUCCCAAUGAUGUAGAUUCUAACUUAUCUUCGUACCGUCUGGACAACUCUGAAAUUGCUAUGAUGAGCUUCCCAUAAGAUCUCUUCUUUAAUCUUUGCAUCGACAAUUACACACAAUCGUCCUCAGAACCUUAGCAUCUUAUCUUCAGAAAUCUGAAAAUCAAUCUCUCUGUCAUCUGCAUUCUUUUAUAGAAUCUUCUGAAUUUCUGAAUCUGUCCACUGAAGCGAUUUGAUUCUGAUCUGUACUCUUAGCUCAAUUCUGAGGGUAGUUAUAAGAUUCGAAAGGUGGCCUACCUUAGAUUUGAUAACCGAAUCUCAAACUUUCUUAAAUAAGAUCCAAUCCUUGAGUACCAACUGUGCAACUAAGGACUCUCGACCCAGUGCAUCUGCGACUUUGCUCACCUUUCUAGAGUGACAUAAAAUAUCAUAGUCCUAAUCCUUAAUGAGUUCCAUCCAGCGAUGUUGUCUCAUAUUCAACUCCCGGGGUCUCAACUGACGGGAUGCAUAUGCAACAACCCUAUCUUGCUGCAUCAACAAGCAACCAAAUCCUUUAAACGACGCAUCAUUGCAGAUCUCAUAACUUUCAGGACCAGAUGGAAUGGUAAGCACAGGUGCGGUAGUCAGCCUCUUCUUAGGCUCUUGAAAACUACGCUCACACUCAUCUGUCCACAACGGACUUUUCUUACUUCCUCAGUAGUCGAAUCAACUGCAAAUCUGACAUUGAAAACCCUUCCAUAAAACUUUUGUAAUAUCCUGCUAAUCCUCAGAAACUUCUAAUCUCUAUCAUUGUAGUCAAUCUCGGCCAACUGACCACUGCUUCAAUCUUGGAUAGGGUUUAUGGAGAUUCCUUCUCCUGAAAUCACGUGACCUAGGAACGCAAUAUGAGUCAUCCAAAACUCGCAUUUGCUAAGCUUAUUGUAAAAAUCCAAAAGUACUUAAGGUCUGAAGUACCAUCCUUAAACAUCUCUCGUGCCCCUCGGCACUCUUCAAACACACAAGGAUAACUUCAAUGAACAUGAUCACAACUUAUUCAAGUGUCCUUAAACAUUCUGCUCAUUGAACCCAAACAAACAGCUGGGGUGUCCAUUAAACCACACAGCAUUACAGUGAACUCAUAACUGUUGUAUCGAACGCAAGAUGCUAACUUCGGGGUGUCUUUCUUCCUGAUCCUCAAUUGAUGAUACCCUGACCUCCAGUCGAUCUUAAGAAAUAUCGAUGUACAAACACAAUGAACCAACUUUCUUCUUCACGAAUGGAACAAGUGCUCCCCAAGGUUAUGCACUGGAAAGUAUGAAUCCCCUAUCCAACACUUCCUGCAUCUACACUGUCAGUCCUUUUAACUCGGGUAACACUAUCCGGUAAGGAGCCUUAGGGACUGGCUCUGUUCCGGGUGUUAAUUCAAUCAUGAACUCUAUUUCUCUUUCCAACAACAAACCUGGCAAUUCUGCAGAAAAUACUUUAGAAAACUUUUGUACCACGAUUAUGCUCUCCAGAUUCGGCCCCUCAACUGACGCAUCCACUUCAGUUGCCAUGUAGAUUCGGUAACCAACAACCAUAACCAGGUCAUCUUCAAUGACGAAUAACAAGGAUUGAAGUUCCUCUUCAACUUUCAGUGAUUCAAAAAUUUCGCAUGCUAACUGAACAAGCUGAAUUACCUCACUACCAUGAUUCAAAAUAGCAUAAAGCUCCUCGAGCCAAAACCUUUUCAUAAAUGAAUUCCAAUUCAUACAUAAGCAAACCCAUUAGGCACAACUAUAGUUAGAGACUCAUAUUCCUAUUACUUUAUUACAACAACGGAAACUCCUCACCCUUCACUGAAAAUUCUCCUGUACUACUCUGAUAAGAACACCUCAAAAACAUUCUCAUUCUGAUUGAUGCAUAAUUGAUCCCUUCAUGCUCUUCUAGCCAUCCUAGCGGCGUUCUAUUUGCAGUAAUGGUGCUUACACUCUCCUGAACUUAGACGAACAGUUCCUAACCUGACGGCCAUGCUGGCCACAUUCAAAGCAUGUCCCCAUUUUUACUCUAACACUAGGCUGGCUCAAGCCUCCUUUCCACAAUCUCGGCACACGAUCAGUGAAUUCGCUAUCUCCUAUCGAGGAACAUCAUGCACCAUUCCUUGCACUGAGGUUCAUUCCAAGUACCCCACUGAACAUCUUGAAGCAUGCUUCAUCUGUUCUGACUUAACAACGAUGGUGAUAGAAACAGCUGUGAUUUCAUCUGUCUAUACAGACAAUCUUUGAUUAAAUGACUGAACUGGCGAGCCUUGUAACAAGUCAUUUCUCUCUUACAGUACAGAACAGAUCCAUGUCUUUUCUUACAGACACGACACACAUCGAUCGAGUUGAGCACUGACUUUCCCAAUUCUACUCUUCCGGUUGGGUGAAAUAGGGUACCUUUCUUCUGACAUCGGCCUUUCUCCCCAAUCGAUUCCCGCCUCAGUCAAAAUUGAACUCUGACUUAGAUACGGAGGCUUGAUCCUCGAUCACAACUCUAGAUUGGGCCUCAACAGGCACGGCAACAUCAACAGUCACAACACUGGCAGCGGUACACACAACGGCAACAGCAACGGCUCGGUCCUGAACUUACUGGCCCAACAAGCUUCCAAGGAACACUAGCACCCAAACAACCCCGACAAACCUAGGAUCAUUCGGUACUACUACACUCUCAGCACCAGCCUAUGGCGGUACUCUCACGCACACGCUGGACUAAGCCUGCGCUCUACCUCGGGUACUGACUCUCGUCAGCAUCCUACCGAGGUAUAGGUCCUAUCGAACUCUUCAAAGGAGUUCACCACUCCUGGUCACUCAUCCUACAUGCUCUUUAUCGAUGCCUGUCUUCGAUUCCAACAUUAGGUUAGAAUUUGAGUGACCCCACAAACAAGCUAUCAACCACAUGCAUCAACAUAAAUAAAGCCUUUCCUACUAACUAUCCCAUGACUCAUCGCACCUUAUCACUCCAUACACAGACCAUGCUCUGAUACCACUUAAACGGGGAUGUCACGCCCCGAACCUCGAGCGCGUCAACAUCCCACCAUGGUCAUUCAAAUGCGACAUUCCCAGGCAAUGUCGCCGACCCCAUUCAUUUCUUAUUGCGCAAGCGGAAUGUACUAUAAAACCCCUGACAAUAAAAUACGGGAUAGAAAAGCAGGAAACAAUUUCACAACCAAUCACUUACACAAACCAACAGAGUUACAGACGAAGGCCUACAGCCAAGAGUCUACAAAAGACCGACUCUUAAAAAUGAAUUGCCCUACGACCUACAAGUCGGACACGUUCUUCAAUCUUAUGACUUCACCUCUGCAUCUCCUCACGGCCAACCAAAGCUAUCUGGCCGCUCCGUCCACCAGGGACCUGAAAUGGUUAUUCAAUAACCACUGAGACAACGUCUCAGCAAGUUCAACCCCCUAAACCCUUAUUAGAAAGAAAAUACGCCCCAGAGUGGUCUAGCCACACAGCACAGAAGACUUACCUCGCCUUCUUGCCUUCUUACAGGUUAGUACAAUUCAUAUCACUCAAGCACCAGUAAUGAUAAGAAUGUAAGCCAUCGGAACACAAUCAAUUUCACUUAAUUUCACAAUCACAGCAAGCAUUCCAUGUCAUCAUUAUCCACUGCCACACAAGAGUACAGCCUAUUCGCCGGUCGACUAUCUACUAAAAUUACAGCAUUUCUAGAAGAAUAAAGGUCCAGUCGGUCUCGCCACUACUGCGACCAUGCCACGUCGUUCUAUCGACAGCAUUUCUAGAAGAAUAAAGGUCCAGUCGGUCUCGCCACUACUGCGACCAUGCCACGUCGUUCUAUCGACAGCAUUUCUAGAAGAAUAAAGGUCCAGUCGGUCUCGCCACUACUGCGACCAUGCCACGUCGUUCUAUCGACAGCAUUUCUAGAAGAAUAAAGGUCCAGUCGGUCUCGCCACUACUGGGACCAUGCCACGUCGUUCUAUCGACAGCAUUUCUAGAAGAAUAAAGGUCCAGUCGGUCUCGCCACUACUGGGACCAUGCCACGUCGUUCUAUCGACGGCAUUUCUAGAAUAAUAAUGGUCCAGUCGGUCUCGCCACUACUGCGACCAAGCCACGUCAUUCUCUUGACGGCAUUUCUAGAAGAAUAAGGAUCCAGUCGGCCUAGCCACUACUGCGACCCGAGCCUUUCAACUAGCACACGACAAUUCGAUACCAAUCCUUAGAUACUUUACAUUUCACUCACAUAAUCCAAUUACGAUAUUAACCAUUAACAAUCCAAUUUCAAUGCCAAACUCGACACUUGGGAUUUUCUAAAUAAAAUCCAUACUUUUCACAAUCCACACUCAAUUUAUAAUAUUCAAUCAUCAAUUUCAAAAUUCAACUACACAGCAGUGAUCGGCACGAAAUUCUGAGCAACCGGGAUCAAAAAUAAUUUUUCCGUUUUUUAUUUUUUAUUUUUUUUAUAUAAUAAUAUUUUAAUAAUUUCGGAAUAUAAUAUAAUAUUAUAAAUUUCCAGAAUUUCGAAGCAAUUAAAUAAUUCAAAAUUAAAAUCCUUUUAUGUCACAUCAAGGCUUUAUAUUAACAAUAAACAUACUUAACUUUAAACUAAACACACUUUAACUUAAUUAAACACCAUAAUAUAAUCAUCAACCAAUUAAAUUAAUUCAACCCACUAAGCUUACUUAACUUAGGCUAAACACACUUAGGGCAUCAUUAACCGUCUAAUCAAGAUUUAGUGAGUUAAACUCACCGGAUUAGCGAGCCGAGCGGACCAAAACGACGAGGACGACGCGAGGAUCGACUUUCCUCAAGGCGGGCCGAGCAUCCGGGCUCGGGAAGGCGGCCAAAACGAGCCAAACGUCCGCUGCAUACCCAUUUUUCCAGCCCUCUGAUUUGGGGCCGACAAGGGCUGCACGGCGGCGGAUCGGGCGAAGGAAUGGCGGAGGAGGACCGGCGGGGCUUGGACGGGCGAGGCGGCAGCUCCGACGAGGCCUCACGGUGGCCGAAGGGAGCUCCGGCAGCUCCUGGAACUCACGAAUCGAGACGGACGGGGAUGGCUAGGCGCGGGCGAGCACGGGUAGCGGCUGAGCGCGAGACGGCAGGCGGUCCUACGGCGUGCGACGGCAACGAGCGGCGGACGGCGGUCCGGCUAGGCUGCAACCAGCUUCGACACCUCCCCAGAUCUGCUGGGUGUCGAGUAGCAACCAACAAUGGAGGAAAGAGGACUUCGGCGCAGCA
rnacentral:lncRNA from 1 species